rnacentral:rRNA from 1 species
UGUGUAGGCGGUUCUUUAAGUUUGCUGUGAAAUCUCCCGGCUUAACCGGGAGGGUGCGGUGAAUACUGAGGGACUAGAGUACGGGAGAGGAAAGUGGAAUUCCUGGUGUAGCGGUGAAAUGCGUAGAUAUCAGGAGGAACACCGGUGGUGUAGACGGCUUUCUGGACCGUAACUGACGCUGAAACACGAAAGCGUGGGUAGCAAACG